rnacentral:rRNA from 1 species
UACGUAGGGUGCGAGCGUUGUCCGGAAUUAUUGGGCGUAAAGAGCGCGCAGGCGGUCGAUCAAGUCGAGUGUGAAAGCCCCCGGCUCAACUGGGGAGGGUCAUUCGAUACUGAUCGACUCGAAGGCAGGAGAGGGUAGUGGAAUUCCCGGUGUAGUGGUGAAAUGCGUAGAUAUCGGGAGGAACACCAGUGGCGAAGGCGACUACCUGGCCUGUUCUUGACGCUGAGGAGCGAAAGCAUGGGGAGCGAACAGG